ACAAGAUAAUGAAUGAGGAGGGGACUACACUCAUGAGGAAACUGAGCAGAGAGUAACUAGUUUAGUCUCAGCAGAUUGCUAAGGACUUCAGAAUGCUUUAUCAUUUUUUUUCUUCUUGUUACUGGUUGUCACCUUGGCUAUACAUUGGAACCACCUAGGGAGCACACCAGCCCAGACUAAUUAACUCAGAGUCUCCUGGGGAUGGGACCCUGGCAUCAGCAUUUUUACAGCUCCUGAGGUGCUGCUGAUGUGAAGCCAGGAUUGAAAAACAGUACAGAAAAACUAAAUACAAAAACCAAAACCCGUGAACAACGUAUGCAGCCAAACUGGGUACAGGAUAUGCCCACAGACCGUGAAGUGACAGCAGGUGAUGGCAAACCACAGUUUCUGUUAAUGGAUGCAGAGGAGAGGCAGCUGGGUGUCUGAAGGGUGCAAGACCAGGAGAUCCACAGAACAGGGGACAGCAGCUGCCUUCCAAGACAAGGCCCCACCCAGAGGAGAAACUGCUAGAAGUGGAAUCAAAUUGAGCACAACAGGGCCAAUAAAAAGUGAAGGAAAGAGGGGACCCCUCCAAAGUCAGGGAGUGGAACAGAGUCGGGAACUUUCACAAAAGAGAGUCAACUCCAAAAUGUGAAAGGGUACUCUUCAAAUGAAGAGUUAUUUUAAAACCAAAGUAACAGCCUGAUGGAUGGAUGCCUGUACAGACAGCUCAUCUUCACUUCUGAGCCUCAGCAGGACUUAGCUGGGCUUCUGGAGUACUGAGCUGAGCCUGCAGCUGUGCAGCCUGGAGCAGCUCUCCCAAUCCAAGAGUGGGAGGUCUGUGGGACCACAGAUUUCACCAGCUGACUGCAGAAAAGCCCUGAGUUCAUCUCAACACCUGUCUUCAUCUCAACACCUGUGUUCUGAGUUGUCCAAGCCCUGGGAACCUGGGUCCUAGUGCUUAAUGAUUAUCUGUCAGAAGGAUGGAUGAAUAGAUCGAUGGAGAAACUAAGGAGCAAAGCAAUCAGUGAUUUGUUCCAGCCCACUCCGGAAGAGGGCUGCUCAGUCAGGGUAGAAACCUAGUUUCCAGGGCUGUUUUCCAAUUCACAAAUCUGCUACGUCUAUGCAGUAAAUAUUGCUCUAAGGAUACAGGAAAUCCAUUAGCCCUUAUUAUCCAUUGAGCCAGCAGGAUACUUACUAAGCUUGUGGAGAAGCCAGUGAACGCUACAGGCUUGGCCUGCCCCAGAGAGCUGACCUUCUGGGGACCUGAGCAUCUGAGGAACAAAGCCUUUAUAACCCAGGAACUGUGUGGUGCUGCUUCGAAGGUUUAGCAUUUGCUGGAAAAGAAUAAGGAUAUGUUGGUCUACAUUCGUUAUUCAGGGUCAAGUAUCAAAACAAAAUCCCAUAUUAGGCUUUGGCAUAACCCGAAUUUGAAUUAUGGGAGAUAAAUGAUCUUGGCAUUAUACUGGAGUUUUUGGGCGGAAAAAGUACUAUAAAAGGAGACUCUAAGGCAUUGUGUAAUACUAAAAACCACUAGUUGAAAAUUAAAACAUUUUAAAGUUCAUAAUAAAAGAUAGUUGCUA
ensembl:lncRNA